AAAUCCGAGUGUCCGCAAGAAGAACCUGAAGGUCCGCUUGGUACCUCUCCAAAUGGUUGAGAUGGAACGGACCUUGUGAACCAUGGCAGAUCACAAAUCACUAAUUCUUUCUUGAGAUCAGGAGGGGUCUUAUUGUUAUAACAGUUUCCACUGGCUUGAAUUGUAUUGUUAUAAAUAAAUAUAAUGUUAAGCUACUACUAAA